rnacentral:lncRNA from 1 species
AAAUUCUUACUGCAUUCUUGACUAACUUUUACUACUUCUUGACUUUCAUGUACCUGGCCAACUAGGUACAACUGCUCGUGACAAUAGAAAUGAAAUGGUCUAAUCCAAAAAUGCAAGCUCACAACCUAUGUCUUCUGAAGCAAAAUCAUUUCUGUUGCAGUUGUAAAUCUUCAAGAUAUUGAUGCCUUCGCCAGAUCUAAUUCUUUGAUGCUAUCUAUUUUGCGACAACAGCAAGAAAAUGCUGCUACUCAUAAUUUUAUGGUUACCACUUACCACCAGUCACCACUUUGUUCUAAUUUAGGACAAGGUUUAUCUUGUAUGUUCGCGUAGUUGCUGUCCGCUGUGGUACGUUGUUUCAGCCUAUGCUGGUGAUAGAUCUUUCUGCAUCAAAUUCAAUUAGCCGUUCCUUAGUGCUGCUGUCGUGUUACCAAAGUUACAUAAUUAUUUAAUGUAGUUCACCGUUAAUUUGUUAAGAAGGAACAAAAAAGAAAUAUGGGGAUGCUUAA